rnacentral:rRNA from 1 species
GACGAACGCUGGCGGCGUGCUUAACACAUGCAAGUCGAACGGAAAGGCCCUGCUUUUGUGGGGUGCUCGAGUGGCGAACGGGUGAGUAACACGUGAGUAACCUGCCCUUGACUUUGGGAUAACUUCAGGGAACUGGGGCUAAUACCGCAUAGAAGCUCCUGCUGCGUGGUGGUGGUUGGAAAGUUUCGGCGGUUGGGGAUGGACUCGCGGCUUAUCAGCUUGUUGGUGGGGUAGUGGCUUACCAAGCCUGUGACGGGUAGCCGGCCUGAGAGGGUGACCGGCCACAUUGGGACUGAGAUACGGCACAGACGCCUACGGGAGGCAGCAGUGGGGAAUAUUGCACAAUGGGCGGAAGCCUGAUGCAGCAACGCCGCGUGCGGGAUGACGGCCUUCGGGUUGUAAACCGCUUUCGCCUGUGACGAAGCGUGAGUGACGGUAAUGGGUAAAGAAGCACCGGCUAACUACGUG